rnacentral:rRNA from 1 species
UCUUCGGAUCGUAAAACUCUGUUAUUAGGGAAGAACAAAUGUGUAAGUAACUAUGCACGUCUUGACGGUACCUAAUCAGAAAGCCACGGCUAACUACGUGCCAGCAGCCGCGGUAAUACGUAGGUGGCAAGCGUUAUCCGGAAUUAUUGGGCGUAAAGCGCGCGUAGGCGGUUUUUUAAGUCUGAUGUGAAAGCCCACGGCUCAACCGUGGAGGGUCAUUGGAAACUGGAAAACUUGAGUGCAGAAGAGGAAAGUGGAAUUCCAUGUGUAGCGGUGAAAUGCGCAGAGAUAUGGAGGAACACCAGUGGCGAAGGCGACUUUCUGGUCUGUAACUGACGCUGAUGUGCGAAAGCGUGGGGAUCAAACAGGAUUAGAUACCCUGGUAGUCCACGCCGUAAACGAUGAGUGCUAAGUGUUAAGGGGGUUUCCGCCCCUUAGUGCUGCAGCUAACGCAUUAAGCACUCCGCCCGGGGGAGUACGACCGCAAGGUUGAAACUCAAAGGAAUUGACGGGGACCCGCACAAGCGGUGGAACCUGGGGGUUUAAUUCGAAGCAACGCGAAGAACCUUACCAAAUCUUGACAUCCUCUGACCCCUCUAGAAGAUAGAGUUUUCCCCUUCGGGGGACAGAGUGACAGGUGGUGGCAUGGUUGUCGUCAGCUCGUGUCGUGAGAUGUUUGGGUUAAGUCCCGCAACGAGCGCAACCCUUAAGCUUAGUUGCCAUCAUUAAGUUGGGCACUCUAAGUUGACUGCCGGUGACAA